CUAAAUUAAAGCUAGUGAAAGCUUGCCAAAGACGGCAAAUCAGAGGGCCCUGGGUCUUGUGGAUCUUUAAUAGGUCAGUGAGCAAGUGUGAGUCAGACUAAGAAAGCCUUGCCUUCUCUCCUCUUUCCUGUUUCAGGAGGCCUACUUCAAGAAGCACAAGUUCAACACAGUCCCAGGUGUCCAGCUCAGGAAUGUAGACAGGUAGAGACUGGCAGCAGGUUCAAGGGGUGGACGUGUAAGGCUCGAUGGCCAGUCCUUGCUGGUUCUUUCCUGUCUGGGGCCUUGGGGUAUUUGUCUCUGGUACCUUUUCCCCAUGUGACCCUUUGCCCUGCCCAUUCCUUUCCAUGGACCUGAGAGCCUCUCCUUCUCUUGAUUCGUUUCUCCCUCCCCUUUAGUCUGAAGAAAGAAGCUUAUGAAGUGGAAAUUCACAGGCUGCUCAGUGAGGCCGAGGUUUUGGACCACAGCAAGGACCCUUGUGAAGACUCCUUCCUGCCAGACACAGAGGGCCAUACCUAUGUGGCAUUUAUCCGGAUGGAGAAAGAUGAUGACUUCACCACCUGGACUCAGCUUGCCAAGUGCCUCCACAUUUGGGAUCUGGACGUUCGUGGCAACCACCGGGGCCUGUGGAGAUUAUUUCGGAAGAAGAACCACUUUUUGGUGGUGGGGGUCCCAGCCUCCCCUUACUCGUGAGUCACCCUGUUGUGCCCUAGGAAAUGGCCUCCUGGCACUGAAGCAUGGCCUCGCCUCUGUACCAUUCAUCUGUUGUGUUUCAG
rnacentral:lncRNA from 1 species